AUUAAUAAACAUGUAUACAACACUUUACCCAUCAAAUAGAGAAUUUAACUAUACUCUUCAUCUUAUAAACACUUUUCCAGAGAAAAGGAAGCAAAGGAAAAUUCCCCAAGUCAAUUCAUGAAGUUAUCCUCACUUUGAUAGCAAAACAAGACAAAAACAGUCCCUGAAAGGAUAAUAGAAGGCAAAGUCUCCUUUAUUAUCAUAAAUGCAAGUUUCAUAAAAUAUGAGGAAACUGAACCUAGCCAUUUAUUUAUUUUUUAAAUCUAUCAUGAUCAAGGAGAGUUUACUCCAGAAAUUCAGGGAUAGCGUAACAUUAAGACAUAUGUAAUGUAAUUUACCACAUUAAUAGAUUCAAGGAGAAAAAUUAAAUAAGUAUCUCAAUAGAUGCUGAGAAGGCAUUUGACAAAAAUUCAACUACUCUUUGUACUUAGCAAACUAUAAAAGAAAGAGAAGUUCCUUAACUUGAUUAGGACACUCCAACAUAUGUAUACAGUGCACACCACACUUACAGCCUUAGAAUUUUUUUCUUUAAAGUCAGAAAUAUGGCAGAGAUACCCACUAUUGUUGUUUCUAUUCAUCAUUGUACUGGAGGUCUUAGGCAAUACACAGAGGCAAGAAAAGGAAAUAGGAAGAGUUAGGAUCAGAUUGGGAGAAACAAAAUGUUCUCUCUGCAGACAAGCUAUUAGAACAAUUAUGUGAGAUACCUCGCAAAUUAUGAGAUAAUAUCAGGACAUCUAUUUGAGGGUGAGGAGAAGAGAGCAGUUUUCAGGAGGUGGGUUUCCUUGUGCAGGCGCCUAACGGCCUGAACACUCCCCCUUCCUGCUGUUCCUGCUCCAGAUCUGGGUUUAGUGUGCUUACUCUAUGCAAUGUGUCAUUUUCUGUGAUAGGUUCUUUAUUUGGUCUGAUUCCCUACAUUGCCCACUGAACUGUAGCUUUCCUUAACACUUCUCUCUGUUCUUCUCCUUACAGAAGUGUAGUGUAAUAGCGGCGGGGCUACCGGAGGGGUUUUGAGGCACCAUCAAAUAGCAGAAUUUCGCGUUCCAGCUAAUCCAUACUUUCAGUCAACACACGGAAGGAUUUUAGUUCUCUAUAUUCUUCAGUGAAUAGAAUUUUACCGAACUUAAUAGGAAACAAUAUUUUUAUGAUUCCCUUGCAGUGAAAAGAACAAAGGCAUUUAAAGCCUUCCCCCAUGAUCUGAAAGUACAACGUUCCUAUGAAACCUUUCGUAAGCCGAAAUGGCGUAAAGCGAAGAAGCAAUUACCACUAAUUUACAUUGGAAAAAUUUUUGAGCGUUCCCAGAUCCGAAAAAUAACCUACCAAAAUCAAUCAAGAUAAAGCAAGAUGCUCACAGACACGGUUCAAAGCCAUGGCGGCUUGACGCUGAGAUGCUCAGUGUAGCCCCGGGGAAGGAGCCUGGCGGCGCUGCGCUUGGUGUCGGACUGCGCGUUGCCUUAUAAAGGGUCGCUGCAAACAAACGCUGAACGCUGUUUUGGCUUUUCACCUUUUAUUGUAAAAGCGAAAAUACUCUUCGGAUUCUUUUCGGUUAGCGAAAACAGGUACGAAUGUAGGUCUUCCGUGAAACAAAGUGGCGUAAAGCGAACUGUGGAUAGUGGGGGAAACGGUCACAGCACGUUAUUAUCCUACUGUGAAGCUUCAGGCAAAGACCCAGAGGGAGAAAGCUGUUCGCUCUGAUAGCUGCACUGAUCGAAUGGCUGUCACAGCUGGGGUAAUCCGCAGGGGGUAAAACAACACUGUCCCAGGAGGAAGAAGAAGUAAGUAGGUAUUAAAGAACACUGGAUUCCAAUUACCACAGACUGAGGUGACUCACAGAGUGGCAAGAUUUCUUUCCACCUCUUGAGAGUGAUUUUAUCCUUUUCCUCUUAGAUUUUCUUAUCUUCUUGGUGGCCUUGGGAAUAUGUGCCUCUGCCAAGUAGCCUUCAGAAGCUUGUAAGCAAAUAACAUACCCAACAUUUACAAAGUGUCUUACAGUUUCCAAAGCAGCUUCACAUAUAUCAUCUCAUGAGACACUCCCAGGCUCCCUGAGAGGGAGGCGUGGUGUCAUUCCCACUUGGUAACGAUAAUGACUUUCAGAAAAGUUAAAUGACUUUCCUCAAAGUCAUGUAGUUCUUUUAGUGGCAGGGCCUAGAUUCAAGCCAGUAGGCUGUCUGAUUCCAAAUUCAGUGUUCUCUUAGCCACGUAUUGGAACUUAGAGAAUGAUAUACUGAGUAGCAGUAAAUAAGAUAUUAGAAGCCAUCUGUCUGUAGGUAACAGCUUUUCUGGGAGCCCAAGUCCCUGCCAAGGACAGAAGUACAGAAAACUGUCUUUGGGGGCCAUUUCAUGGACGUCACCUGCGGCAAAGGGCUCUAGUUGGGUCUCUUGAAUUACAGUCUUCUCCACCAUGUUUGGAAUCUUGGAAAAUUUAUCAAACCUCUCUGGCCUCAGUUUUUCUAUGCAUUAAAUUCAGCUAAUAAUAAUUAUCCUAGUGACAUCAAGAUUUCUGUGAGAAUAAAGUAAAUAAUAAACAAUAUCUCAGGAAACCUAAAUUGCAGUAUGAAAGUGAGAAAAGUAUUAUCCUUGUCAAUAAUCAUGUAAUAAACAACACAGCAAGCUUUGGUUUCAGUUAACAUUUGAUGUAUGUCCAUGGGCCCCCAGGUAAAUACUGAAGGAGUUGACUGGUAUGGUACACACUUAUUUUUCUAAUUUGAAAAGACACUAAGACGUAUCAGUAUAAAAAUCAUCCAUAUUUCUGAUAUUGAAAAUUGAUGUAAAGUAAGAAUUCAAAGUCUCCUUCCCUACUGUCCACUCCACCUUCCCCGUUGCCUCUUAGUCAGCCCCCAGAGUUAAUCACUGUUGGCAGCUUCUUGUUUCUUUCCUUUGGUUCCUUGAUUUUCGUGAAUUGUGCUACCCUGAGAAAUAACAUUGGUAUGCAAAUAGUGACCACACCUUAGAAUUACACAGGGCUUUAUAGUUAAUGAAAUACUUGCUGGCAUACUGUCUUCUUUGAGCCUCCUAGGAGUCCUUGAGACGUGCUCAUUAUGGCCUCCAUUUUGUAGUUCAGGUAGGCAAGUAUGAAGAUCAUUUACUGAGUGUGCACUAGGAGCCGGAUAAUGGGCAGGCCACGGGAAAUCAAAGCCACGAGUCCCAGAGGAGUCAUAGUGUAGUGAGGGAGAUAAAAAUGAUAUGUAUCUACAUCUCCACGACACAGAUCUGUCCAAAGGACAGGAAGACCAUAGAAGGAGUAAACUAAUUCUGUCUGGGCCAGGUUGAAAAAAGGGCGACGGAAUAUUUCAUACAGGCGGUUACAAUGAAGUACAAUUUUGAGUGAUAUGAAAACCCAGAGAAGCAGUGUUUACUCAAGGUCAAACCACUAGAAAUGACUCAAACUCAUAUAUGGUGCCUCCAAGCCCAAGGUUCUCUCUCUGUACUCUGCCGUGCAGUUUGUGGUUUGCCCAUUCAAAGCAGGCAUGUGUCGUGUAAUGUUUAACCAGAGUUAAAGGAAUCGCUCGGCUUCAAAGAUAGUUAGCACAGCUGGUGGAGAAAUGUGAUUGCCUGAAUGGAUUCUAAAGUUCAUGGGAUCACCAGUCACUGUGAGAUUAACCUGCAUUUAUCAGGGUGUGGAUGGUGCAAAACAGGGAAUAGUGUGAACUCUGGAAAGUUCUCCAAAGCCUGCUUGGAUGCUUCCACUGAUGGAGAACUCAGCCCCUGGAUCAGCCAAGCAAAGAUCCCACCCAUCUACAUUCUCAGGAGGGGCAUUCAAGAAAAAUAGGGUACGUGGGAGAAGAUAGAAGAUGGGGAAGUCAACCUCUGCUUAAUCUCUUCAGCCUAGAGAUAACACUCCUCACUUCUGCUCAUAUUCCACUGAUAUGAGCCAGUUUCUUGGAGCCACCUAGGUGACAGAUGAAGGAGGAACUGGGAAGUGUGGUUCAUAUCUGGUGGCCACUUUUCAGAUCCAAGGAGAUUUUGUGCCUGAUGAUUUAAUAAAAUGUAUGUUGAGCAAGU